rnacentral:misc_RNA from 1 species
AACGCACCUUGCGCUCCUUGGUAUUCCGAGGAGCAUGCCUGUUUGAGUGUCAUUAAUAUAUCAACCUCCUCAACUUGUGUUGAGUGUUGGAUGUGGGGGGUUCUUUUUUUGCUGGCUUUUACGGUCAGCUCCCCUGAAAUGCAUUAGCGGAACAACCUGUUCACUGUUCAUUGGCGUGAUAACUAUCUACGCUGCUUGUUGACAGUGACGCAAGUUCAGCUUCUAACAGUCCAUUAAAUUGGACAAAUUUUUAUUAAUGUGACCUCAAAUCAGGUAGGACUACCCGCUGAACUUAA